CGGGCGGCGCUCGACGGUCGGCGUCGCCGCUCUACUAGCCAUCGCCGAUCCACUUUUCAUUUUCCAUUUGUUUUGUCUUUGUUUCUGCACACCUGUUUUUCAUUCCCCUAAUUCUUUUUCAUGUAUUUAACCCUCUGUUUCCCCCAUGGUGUUGUGCGGGAUUGUCUUAUGUCAUGUUCGGUCACUGUUCAGAGAAGCUAGCCAACAACACAGCUAAAUCAAUCACUUCAAACUGAAGCUGGAAAGACUGCAAACUAGCUGCACUUCGUUUACCGAGAGAAUACUUCAAAAUGAGAAGAUCCUGCCAAGGAAAAGACGACUGGGUGGACAUAAAGUGGAAAGGAGGGAAAUAACUCACACCAUGCAGCACGACACCUUCAGCUGAGGGGUCUUUGUAAUGCAGAGUUCAACAAAGCCAACAACUGCUUCAUGUGUGCCACUGAUAAAGAACCUGGAUGUGGCCCAAAGACUGACUGGGAAUGAAGACGAGUUCAGAGUGAAGAACACAAACUGGAAGAUCUGUCUUUGUUGUUGAAAAUGUAUGCUAUACCCCAUCCACAAGAGGCUCUGAAAUGUACAUCAACCAGGGAUAAAGAGAAAGUUAACACUGUGAAAUAUGUUGUACUUAUUUGAAGUAAAGUGUUGACAUGUUGGAAAAUAUUAAAGGUCUACAAUUUCUGUUUAAUAUGUCAAUAUUACAUUUUUAUUCAUAGAUUUUUCUGGCCAUCAUUACUGUGGUUAAAUGUUCAGUAUAUGUAUUGACCAGCAAACCCAUUGCAGCCUACCUCACUAGCUCACUCUCCAUCCCUGCUUUUGUGAUGACCCUCCCACUCUGUCUGCCGUAUUCUCUCUCUUUGUUCUUGUUUCCUUAUUAGGAUGCCGGUGGGCGGAGUUGGAAGGGUCGUCAGCUACAUGGGAAACACCUGGAUCCGGGUGUGUCCCAGGAUAAAGGCACCUCUUCCACAGUCAUUGGGGAGACUCUCUCCACGCAGACACCUUGUUGUUUUUGGUUGUGCUAGUUGUGGUAUCUAAUAAAUAUAUAUUUUUGAUACUCCUUGUCUCCACGUUGUCUCCCUUUUGUUGCGAACUUUGAGCAGGUUCGUAACACUUUGGACAAUUAAUAACAUGACUCUCGUACUUUGCCAUUUUCAUUUAUGGUUGACCAAGGAGCUAUUGAAAGUUAGAAAAAUGUAUGUAAAAACGUGUGAGAUGAAAAUUGACAAACUAAAGGAUGUGCAAUGUGAAGGCCAACUGAGUGGACAUUCUGAACCUUAUUUGAGUCCAGUAGGUCACAUGACCAAGGAGCUAUUGACAUUUUUAAGUUUGAAAAAUUCAUGUAAAAACGCGAGAGAUGAAA
rnacentral:lncRNA from 1 species